rnacentral:tRNA from 1 species
GAGGGUAUAGCUCAGUGAGAGAGUGCAUGCUUAGCAUGCACAAGGUCCUUGGUUCAAUCCCCAGUAUCUCCA